rnacentral:rRNA from 1 species
CUGAACCAGCAACUUGGAGGAAUGUAUAGCGAAAGCUAGUUGCAUUUAACUUAGCGAAAGCUAAGUUGAUGCAGGAUUGACUAUGUCAAAUAAAGUUCUAGGUGGGUUAUGAUGAUGACAUUUCCUAUCUAUGUGUCUUGACCAAAUUACGUGCCAGCAGUCGCGGUAACACGUAAAAGACUAGUGUUAUUCAUCUUUAAUAGGUUUAAAGGGUACCUAGACGGUAAAUCAAGUCCAAGAAGGGUACUAAUUUUACUAGAGUUUAAUAUGAGGGGGCACUAAAGUACUGAUAAGUGUAGAGAUGAAAUUCUGUGAUACAAUAUACGGCACUGGUAAAGGCGAAAGCAUCUCAUUAUGUAAUAACUGACGUUGAGGGACGAAGGCUAGGUGUAGCAAAAAGGAUUAGAUACCCAAGUAGUCUUAGCAGAAAAUUAUGAAUGUCAUAGGAUGGAAAGUUGGAUGGACAAACAACAAAUUUUUUUUUCUAUAAAUGAAAGUGUAAGCAUUCCACCUCGAGAGUAAUUUGGCAACAUUGGAACUGAAAUCAUUAGACCGUUUCUGAAACAAGUAGUGAAGUAUGUUGUUUAAUUUGAUGGUCCGCAAAAAACCUUACCACAAUUUGAAUAGAAAAAUUUUUUUCAUACAAGCGCUGCACGGUUGUCUUCAGUUAAUGUCGUGAGAUCUUGGUUAGUUCCAUUAAAUUAACGUAAACCCUUACUCUAUUUUUAUAUAGAGUAGUUCACCGCUAGAUUGGAUGUGAUAACAGGGACUAAGACAAGUCAUCAUGGCCUUAAUAUUGUGGGCUAUAGACGUGCCACAUAUGCCUUACAAAGGGAUGCAAAAUUGCGAAAU